rnacentral:miRNA from 1 species
CGACCAGCAGGACGGCCUGGAGGCGCGUGGCGGAGUCCGCCACGCGCCUCCAGGCCGUCCUGCACCUCC